UUGGGGGUGGAAACACAGAUGGUGAUGCUGAUAGUGACAGUGAUUUGGAAGUCGUUUCAGAUACUUUCAGUGUCAACCUUCGCUGUCCUGUAUGGCUUUCAUUAAUAAAUGGAUUAUUAUGGCAAUUCAUAAAGUCCUACUAACAGUUUUUCUAUAUUUUGGUGAAAUUUUAGAUGAGUGGUUCAAGAAUGAAGAUUGCUGGAAGAUUCAACCCUUGUAUUCACAUGGGUUGCUUUGACCUUGAGGUUUUUGUGGAAAUGAAUCAACGAUCAAGGAAGGCAAGAUUCCAAAUGUUGCAUGAUUUGUCCACUCCCCUUUGUGUUUUUUUGUCUGCUGAUGAAUUGAAUUGUUUCUACAGUGGCAAUGUCCUAUAUGUCUCAAAAACUAUGCUUUGGAGAAUAUUAUCAUUGAUCCUUAUUUCAAUCGCAUCACUUCUAUGGUAGUUAUUUAAAAAAUUAAUAAUAGUUUCUAGUGUUCAUAAUUUUCUAUUUGACAAAAUCUGUAGCCAUUAUUUAAAUUGAUUUGGUGGCACAGAUGUUAAAUUGUGGUGAAGAAAUUACAGAGGUUGAGGUGAAGCCUGAUGGUUCUUGGCGUGUGAAGACAAAGAGUGAAAGUGAACGCCAGGAAUUAGGGAGUCUAGCACAGUGGCAUCUUCCUGAUGGAUCUCCAUGCGUUUCAGCUGAUGGAGAUUUCAAGAGAGUGGAUACAUUGAAGCAGGUCAAACAGGAAGGUGUUUCUGACAGUCCAACUGGUUUAAAACUUGGCAUCAGGAAGAAUCGCAAUGGAGUUUGGGAAGUCAGUAAACCUGAGGGCACAAACACCUCUUCUGGUAAUAAAUUGAAAGGGGUUUUUGGAAAUCCCGAACAGGUUGUUAUUCCAAUGAGCAGCAGUGCUACUGGAAGUGGCCGAGAUGGUGACGAUCCUAGUGUAAAUCAGGGUGGUGGUGGGAAUAUCGACUAUUCUGCUGCAACUGGCAUUGAAAUAGAUUCUCUGUGUCUCAAUAAUGUUGAUUUAGCAUAUGAAUAUACUGCACAUGACACUUCUGCUCAGGCGGGUGGUACAGAAGUUAUUGUUCUUAGUGAUUCUGAAGAAGACAACGAUCUUUUGGUAUCGCCUCCGAUUGCGUAUAGGAACAACCAAAAUGAUGCUACAGAUGGUUAUUCUGUACAACCACCUGUAAUAGUUGAUUCAUACACUGAAGAUCAUAAUCUUGUUGGUGGAAAUUCUUGCUUAGGACUCUUUCCCAAUGAUGAUGAUUUUGGGAUGUCUUCCCUGUGGUCUAUGCCUUCUGGAAGUCAGGCUGGUCCUGGAUUCCAACUAUUUGGUUCCGAUGCAGAUGUGUCAGAUGCAUUGGUCCAUCUGCAACAUGGUCCUGUGAAUUGCUCUUCAUCACUAAAUGGUUAUGCACUAGCUCCUGAUACUGCUUUGGGAUCUGGUAGUAUCUUGCAUGAUUCCUCUGCUGGUCGGUUGGAUGCUGAUUUGAAUGGUGGUUUGGUGGACAAUCCAUUAGCAUUUGGCGGUGAUGAUCCCUCACUUCAGAUUUUUCUCCCCACUAGACCAGCGGACUCAUCCAUUCAGAAUGAAUUGAGAGAUCAGGCAAAUGUGGCUAAUGGUGUCUGCACUGAGGAGGAUUGGAUAUCCCUUAGUCUUGGAGGUGGUGCUGGUGGUAGCAAUGGUGAUGCUUCUACUCAAAAUGGAUUGAAUUCUAGACAUCAAAUCCCAACCAGAGAUGUUGGCACAAAUACUUUGGAUGAUACUGGUUCGUUGCUCUGACCUUACUGAAUCAGAAUAUUCCUUAUUUUUUUUAGUGACUAGCUGGUAAUUGGAGCAUUAUUUUUCAACGGAGGGAAUAAUAAAAAAUCUUUAAUGAAGCAAAAUUGGCCAUAUUCUUUUUUGAUGCGUAAUUGACCAUUUUUUAAAAAUUAGUAAAAGAAAUAAAUAGUUUUUUUUUAUAAAGUAAAGUGUUCUUGUUCCUUGUUAUAUAUGUAACAUACCAUCAAAGAUAUACUGGAGUUUAAAUUGAUGUGACAUUUUAUGAUAAAAAGAUAUCAAAUAUUUUGAUAAUAUAAUUUCCGUUACAAAAGGCAACAUUUAUCCUUAGGAAAUUUGAGGUUUGGGACAGGAAUAUUUAUUACACAUCCUAAUUAUACUUAAAAGAACAAAAUGUUUAGCGGUUUUUAAAUUAACCAGAUAGUAAGUGUAUAUAUUUGAAAUGUAAUAGUUUCUACUAUGAUUGUUUAACUUAAGUCCAAAGGGCUUGUGUCAGCAAAACCUUGCCUACUGAUAUGGAAGUUUUUUAAUUUUGUAAAGAAAUAUAUUACUUGCAUAUCUUAAUUCAAAGAGUUAGUUUAGCUGUCUUCAUUAAAUACAUGUUAUUACUCAGCCUUCAUUAGAAAGUAUUUUUACUAUCUUUCUUUGUUAAAUUAUUUGUUCUUAAACCGCCACAAGUAAAAACAAUAGUUUGAGAAUGGUUCAAGAGUUUCUCUUGCGAUUAUCACUGUCAAUUAUUCUCAACCCAUAUUAUGAAGGGUGUUUUUGGAUUUUGAGCUGGAUUAGACUGAUUUUAAGGGAUGACAAUUGAUCUAAUAUAAUUUUUUUAUUAUAUCAUCGGAUAUGUUUUGGUUCAAAAUCUAUAUCCAAAUUUAUUUGGAUUGGAUUUUUCUGUUUUCGAAUUUCUAAUUAUACAAAACAUAAAAAAUGUAAAAGCCAAAUUUUAUCAGAAUACAUGAAAUACACGUUUUCCCCUAAUUCAUCUAAAUAUUUUAGAUUCUACAUAUAGAACCUAAUAGAUUGUCAACAAUACAAUACAAAUUCAAAUCUCCAAAGGAACAUUAAGUUUGGUUCAGAGUAAGUUCAUAAAUAUAGAUUUUAUACAUACUUUUUUAGGUAUAAUAUCAUUUUGGAAGUACUAUACAUAAAAUUCUAAAAUCAUCUAAAAUAAGUGCAUAAUACCUUUUUUGCUCAUUUUUUCAGUUUAUAGUGGAUGUUUAAUACUCUCAAACAUCAUGAAGCAAACAAAAUAAGCAUUUACAUCUUUCUACAUAUUGUGGAAAUUUAUGCAUUUUUAAAAUUUGUUGGUUUUCUUUUUUCUGGACACCUGUCUGCCUCUGCUAUCUCUGUGUCUCUAUCGUAGAUGGAAUAUAUUUAGUAAGCCUUUUGAUAUGGGUUUAAUUCUUUCAUGCGUGAUCUUUAGUACAUUCCUAAGCUUCUUAUCAAGUUUAUUUGAGGGGCUGUGAAGGAGGAUCGAAAGCUGGGUAUUCAGUUUCUUUGCAUCGAGCACUGCUAUACCUUCUGUUAAAUGGUUAGAAACCUUCAAAUGUUUAGUUGUGGAUUUGUCGAGAUACAUUUUACGGCUGUGUUAAUCUGCUGCUGCAUCAUAUCCUUGUGACAGAAAAGUGAUUUUUUAAAACUCUACUCCUAAAAUCAGCCAAAUGCUCAUAAUUUGCUUUCCCAGAUAGAAACCAUAAAUGGUUCCUUUUAUUACCAGACAGUUGAGGAUGUUAACCUCUAAACAAAGUUGAGGAGGUUGGUGUGUACAUGCAUUUGCAUCUUCCUCAUUAUGUUCGGUUCCCCUUUUCUGCUCCCUAUAAGAUAAUUGCAUUUUUACUUCUGAGAUAGUGACCGUCAAUGCAGUUUUGACAUUUUUUAUUUAUUUUUCCAUUAUUUUUAUUCCUGUGUAUGCAGCUUCUUUACUCCUUGGGAUGAAUGAUGUUAGAACUGACAGGCCAAGUAGGCAAAGGUCAGAUAGUCCUUUCUCAUUUCCUCGCCAAAGACGUUCUGUAAGACCCCGUUUGUACCUUUCUAUUGAUUCGGAUUCAGAGUAAAGGUCAGACCUUGUGUCUCAAAAACUUUAGGUACUCUUCUUAACACCAGAUUUCGUAUUUAUUAACUGAAGAAAGUUGAGAGGCAUUUUUGGUCCUCAUGAAAUGGCAGUUAAUACAUAUGUGGUCUAAGGCAUCUCUGGUGGAACAGAGCUACACGUUACCCUCCCAAAAUGCUUGCGCCCACCCCAUCGACAAGGAUUGUUGGUUGUAAUGAUCUUUGUUCUUGAUAUCUAAAUUGUCCUUAGCACAGAUGUUGGUAGGCCAAGCUGGAGCUAUUAUUCCCAUCAAUUUUCAAUGAGGGUGUGCUGGGGUACACUGCUGGUUUUUAUUGUAUAGUUCCUCAUUGGAAUCUGGUAGUUUAAACUUUGAAAUUUGGUGGGACAUUAUAUCUGCAUUUUUGUCUCUGCGGAGAGCAAUAACCUGUAAAUGAUUUAGCCAUAUCAGAUCCAACAGUUAAAUCAAAGAUAUUGUUUCUCUUAAACUGAUCAUUUUUCUAUAAUGUUAUGUUGUUCAUGCCUCAUGACAUCUGGACUUUGAUAUUUAUUUAUCUUAAUAUAUUAACAUGUUUUGUUUGCAUGAUUGAGUAGAGAAGGAAGGACACAGACCCUCUCCUGCAUCUUUCGUUUACAGCCCUCGGAUGUAAUUGCAUGGAUGUGAUUGAAAGCUAUAAAGUGUUUUGACUGUUAAGAAUGUAAUGUAAUCCGUUUAAGGUUUCUUAUAAUAUCUUAUAUUUAAUUGAGAACUUUUGUUAAGGAAAAAAAAAAGAUUUUGGAGGAAUUACUAUGGGCACAUUGCUUAAUAUAAUAUCGAAUAAUGUUUUUCCAUCCAUAGAAUUACUCGUAUUAGCAUUAAUCAAGUAUAUCAACGACAAUAAUUAUAUUAAAAUUUACGGUUGUUAUAUAUAUUGAAAUGAAAUUUAUAUUAUAACUUAUUCAAUAAUUUUGUAAGUAUUAAAGUAUAUGUCGUACAAUUGUAACCAAGGUUUAUUCAAUUCCAUUUUAGUUUGAAUAUAAAUAAAAUUACAUGGAUAUCAUUAGAACAUAUAAAUAAUAUUAAUAUUAAUAUAAUAUAAUAAAAUGAAACAACUUGUUAUAUAUUCUUUUUAAGAAAAUAAAUAUCAAUGAAAAAAUGUACAUGCAAACGAGAGGCUAUCGCAAAAUAAAAUAAAAGGUUAUAAGAAACUUAAAAAGGAGAAUAUAUAUGAUAUAAACAUAUAGAUAGAAAGAACAAGAUUACAUUAUAUACUUCCAUGAAAUUAGGUAAUAUACCAAAUUACAACAUACUUUAAGCGUAAUAUCAUUCUUGUUUUUCUUUACCUGAUGUUAAAGUUUUAAAGAAAAACUGCAUCGCAUGGUUAAUAAUAGUGUAGUGUUACACUAACACAUCAGCCAUGCAAAUUCUUGUUUUUGUCAGUGGCAUUUUACGAACAAGUUUGCCUCCUUUCUGAUACUUCCGCCUCACCCCGCCGCUGCUUCUUCUUCUGAACAUCCGUGCACUCCAUUCGCCCGAGUCCUCGAGCACAAACUCCUCCAUGGGGAAGAAGAAGCAGAAAGUCGUUCUUCCGCCGGAGCUUCCGCCAGAGAUUCCAGACGACGAAGUUGAGGUUUCCGACGAUGACCUCCAAUUCAUCAAAGAGAAUCGCAACUAUGCCUCCCUGCUCUCCACCUUAGACUCUUUCUUCCAAUCCUCUGUCCUCUGUUUUCAUAAUAUUUUAUGGCGGCCUUACUUGCAAUGCUACAUUUUGUGUAAUAAAUUGUUAGCGAAAGUUUCGAAGUUUUUGUCACAAUUAAAUACGGAAAAUUAUAAAUUUGCACAGUUUGCCUCUUUGAAACCUUUCCGUAGUAGCGGAGUUUAUGUUAGUAUUGAAAAACCCGACUUAUCCUUGCUUAUUUUCUGCUUUAGCUGUUAGGUGCAUAAUUUGGGGAAAUGUCUGAAAUAUUUUAUCUCACCGUUUAUCAAGACGGAAAUUUUUUGCAGACUUAUCGUUCAAAUACUUUCAUAGCAAUAAGCUUUGGAGUGACAAUUAAAGUGUUUUUUUUUUGUUUUUUUACUUUUUUGCAUUAGAACAUUUUUAUCGGUUCUUGUAGACAAAGAGCUUCUUGAGCCUGCAAUUUGAAUUUUUAGGGUAAGCGGGAACUGCUACCUGUAUAGCGUGGAAAUGUCUUCUUAUUGUAACACUUUAGCCUAUGAUAGGAACCCAAUGCAAUGUAGGUUGAAAUUUGUAUUAUAGAUUGAAAAUAAAACUAUUACUGAAGAGAAGCCCUGUAAUCCCAUAGCAUAAGCUCCUAAGAGAAACUAUUUUAUAUGUAAC
rnacentral:lncRNA from 1 species